GAGGGAAAACGUUAUAAAACUCAAGUAGAGCACAAAUAUAGAACCGAUCUAAGAAACAAAAAUAGAGAAAACCUCGGAUAUCUAGGGUUUUAGAGGAACCCUAAAGAGAGAAAGGAAUGGAAAAGGUCCGAUCUAAGUCGGAUGAGUCAGAACCAGGCUCGAAAUGCAUUGGAUACGCCGGAACAAAGGUAGAGAGGCCAUGGAACCUUGAAUUGGAGAAAAUGAGAACGGACACCAUCGAGGUCAGACCUCAAAACUUCAAACACCAAACAUUUAAGAACAGAGAUAGAUGGGUAUCGGCCAUCCACGGCCUGAGAGGCCAUGGAUUCCGGUGAGUUUGUGGUUGAAAAUGGUAGAGGAUGAUUAGGGUUUCAAGAACCUUCGAGAUAGUUUAUGAGAGGAGAGUGUUUGGGGGAGGCUGAGAGAGGAGAAUGAGGGGAUUAGGGUAGUCA
rnacentral:lncRNA from 1 species